UUGGAGGAUUUGAGGACUUCAACUUACAAACUUGACAAAUUUGAAGACAUCAACUUGCAUAUUUUGAGGAAUUGAAGACUUCAACU
rnacentral:pre_miRNA from 1 species